GCCCAAUCUCAGCUCACUGCAACCUCCACCCCCUGGGUUCAGGCAAUUCUCCUGCGUCAGCCUCCUGAGUAUCUGGGAUUACAGGCACCUGCCACCACACCCGGCUAAUUUUUGUAUUUUUUUUUUAGUAGAGACGGGGUUUCACCAUGUUGGCCAGGCUGGUCUUGAACACCUGACCUUAUGAUCCACCCGCCUCGGCCUCCCGAAAUGCUGGGAUUCCAGGCGUGAGCCACCGAGCCCGGCCCAGUCUUAACAUUUUUUAAGGCUUAGUCACCUGCAUGAUACCAACCAGGCUGGUCUCAACUGUGGGGCAACUGGGGUUGUUGAACCACGUGAACUGCAGGUGCUCCCUGCAGAACCCUUGCAUAGCCGGCGUCUUUAUACCUGUCUGUCCAUCCAGGGAUGGCGGGGUUGGUGUUUGUCCUCCAGUCGAGGGCACUGACAACCUUGGGGCAGCAGCACCAAUCAGCUUCCAUCCCAUCACGUAAGAGCCACACGUGGAGAUCUGGGUGCACACGCAUCUCACGUGUUUCCCGGAACAGCCUCAGCGCCUUUCCCCGAGCAGCCCCUUGGACAUUCACCUGGCAGAGGAGUCUCUGGUUCUGUUUCUGGACUGUGGACGCGGGCUAGGGCGCAUGCUGCAGGUGAAUCACUUCUGAGGACAGAUGAGUCUCCUGUUCUGCUUCGGGUCACCACGCUGCUCUGUGAUCCAGGGAGUCUCUGUCAGCGUCUCUUCUGCUGGAUCCAGUCUGGAGUGUCAGGGAUUCAGAGCACGACAGAGGUGACCAUGGGCAACGUGCACCCGAGCACUUCCCUGCCACAGGGACAUGCAGAGCAUUUCCCACCCUGAGGAGCGGCCACUCAAGACCAUCAGGUCGCAGGUGGAGGACUGUGAUGCAGCCGAGCUCCUAUCACCACCAGGACUUGUCUCACUGAGCAGAAGCCGGUAACACACCAGGGAAGACGGCCUUGCCCACGGGGUGGCUGUUGACGGAAUCUUUCUGUUCUGCGUUCUCUCAUCAUGGAUGUGGGUCCCUUUGAUGCCUCUGUCUUCGCUCAGGGCCCCAGGAAGAUUCAUUCCCCCUAGACUCUCUGCUUCCUGGGAAAUGAUUACAUUCUGAGCUUUGGCGAAUUCCCGCAGCACCGCUCCUUGGCUCCCUCACUGCUACCUGGACAGGCAGAAACAUUAACAUCCCCGGCCAGCACCUAGGCCCCGAAGUGAGGGGAUACAUGAGCCGUGUGCAGGCUUCCAGUCCCUGGAAUGUGUGUAGGGGGUUCACUGUCCACCACAGCUUAAACACAAAAUGAACAUUUUGACUGGAAAAGGGUAGAUAGAAAGAAAAAGACCUAAAUGUGGAGCGUAGUCUGGAGCCUUCUAUGGGGCAGAACAGCACUCGUGUGCAAUAAUGCUGCAGUGAGCCACAGCCUCGCCUCUCAGCUGCACAGGACAGAUGUGCAGUGGAACGGGAAGUCAGAAUGACCAUCCCUGCGGCCGUUAUGAGGAGCUGUUCCCUAGGUCUCUACAAUGAAAGCUCCUGAAAACAGUCAAUGUAGAUUUGCACGCUGAGAACAGCACCUCCAUUCCCAGCUACCCAGAGCCAGGUCCUAAUUCUUGCUUAUCCACCAACUCAGUAAAUAUAAGUCACGAAGGUUGCUUUUAUUUUAUGUUGAACUUUUUGUAGUUUACUAGCUUGCAUUAUUUUUUUUAAAAAAGAAAACGAGUUGAUAUUUUUAACUUUUAAAAAUAUCAUGAUGAUGGCCGGGAGUGGUGGCUCACGCCUGUAAUCCCAGCACUUUGGGAGGCCAAGGUGGGCAGAUCAUGAGAUUAGGAGAUUGAGACCAUCCUGGCUAACACAGUGAAACCCCGUCUCUACUAAAAAUACAAAAAAAUUAGCCGGGCAUGGUGGUGGGCACCUGUAGCCCCAGCAACCCGGGAGGCCGAGGCAGAAGAAUGGCGUGAACCUGGAAGGCAG
rnacentral:lncRNA from 10 species